rnacentral:tRNA from 1 species
CAGAUAUAAUUCAAUGGUAGAAUGAAAGCUUCCCAAGCUUUUUAUGCGGGUUCGAUUCCCGUUAUCUG